AAACAAAGCAGGAGGAAUACAAGGACCAAAGGUUCAACCUCAGUAUGCAAGCUCAACAGCUUAGACCUCAUGAGAGCAGAAACACGGCAGCCUCCUAGUGCAGAGUAAACUCAAAGCGUGUGCAGAGGGCCAGGCCAAACUGGACUGGCAUCCUGUUACAACCCCACCCUGAGCUCUUCAUCCUCCUCCACCUCUGACUGCUGCAGCCAUCUUUUCUGUCCCUCACACUUGACACUAAACUGAAAAUGUAGGAUUAAACGGACGGAGAUGGGCUCGUUCUUUGACUGUAUGUAUUUAACUUUAACUUAAGCACUAUUUGAAUGAUUGCUUCUGGGUCUCUGUGGAGGACAAUGCUGUCAAAGCUGUUUUUCAACAUGAGUUUGUGCGAGAGCUGGAGGCUUUAUUUUGAUCUGUUAAUGUUAACAGGCGCGAACUUGAAGCCUGUCAGCAAGUGUUGGGAUCUCUGUGAAGUCUAGCGUUCCACCUCUUUCAAUGCUGAUCAAUGUGCAAAGGCAGCUGUUGCGCAGUGGAAAUUGACAUUUCUGUUUAUGCAUUGAUGUCAAAUGAAUAUGUCUUAUACUGUAUUGACAGUCUAAUAAAUAUAUUUGAACAUAAA